UAGGGAAUCUUCGGCAAUGGACGGAAGUCUGACCGAGCAACGCCGCGUGAGUGAAGAAGGUUUUCGGAUCGUAAAGCUCUGUUGUAAGAGAAGAACGAGUGUGAGAGUGGAAAGUUCACACUGUGACGGUAUCUUACCAGAAAGGGACGGCUAACUACGUGCCAGCAGCCGCGGUAAUACGUAGGUCCCGAGCGUUGUCCGGAUUUAUUGGGCGUAAAGCGAGCGCAGGCGGUUAGAUAAGUCUGAAGUUAAAGGCUGUGGCUUAACCAUAGUAGGCUUUGGAAACUGUUUAACUUGAGUGCAAGAGGGGAGAGUGGAAUUCCAUGUGUAGCGGUGAAAUGCGUAGAUAUAUGGAGGAACGCCGGUGGCGAAAGCGGCUCUCUGGCUUGUAACUGACGCUGAGGCUCGAAAGCGUGGGGAGCAAACAGGAUUAGAUACCCUGGUAGUCCACGCUGUAAACGAUGAGUGCUAGGUGUUAGACCCUUUCCGGGGUUUAGUGCCGUAGCUAACGCAUUAAGCACUCCGCCUGGGGAGUACGACCGCAAGGUU
rnacentral:rRNA from 1 species